rnacentral:rRNA from 1 species
AGCGCAGGCGGUUUCUUAAGUCUGAUGUGAAAGCCUUCGGCUCAACCGAAGAAGUGCAUCGGAAACUGGGAAACUUGAGUGCAGAAGAGGACAGUGGAACUCCAUGUGUAGCGGUGAAAUGCGUAGAUAUAUGGAAGGACACCAGUGGCGAAGGCAGCUGUCUGGUCUGUAACUGACGCUGAGGCUCGAAAGCGUGGGGAGCAAACA